rnacentral:rRNA from 1 species
CCUACGGGAGACAGCAGUGAGGAAUAUUGGUCAAUGGACGAGAGUCUGAACCAGCCAAGUAGCGUGAAGGAUGACUGCCCUAUGGGUUGUAACCUUCUUUUAUAAAGGAAUAAAACGAGGCACGUGUGCCUUUUUGCAUGUACUUUAUGAAUAAGGAUCGGCUAACUCCGUGCCAGCAGCCGCGGUACUACGGAGGAUCCGAGCGUUAUCCGGAUUUAUUGGGUUUAAAGGGAGCGUAGAUGGGUUGUUAAGUCAGUUGUGAAAGUUUGCGGCUCAACCGUAAAAUUGCAAUUGAUACUGGCAGUCUUGAGUACAGUUGAGGUAAGCGGAAUUCGUGGUGUAGCGGUGAAAUGCUUAGAUAUCACGAAGAACCCCGAUUGCGAAGGCAGCUUACUAAACUGUGACUGACAUUGAUGCUCGAAAGUGUGGGUAUCAAACAGGAUUAGAUACCCGUGUAGUC